rnacentral:rRNA from 1 species
UUCCAGCUCCAAUAGCGUAUAUUAAAAUUGUUGCAGUUAAAACGCUCGUAGUUGAAUUUCAAAGAAUCGAUAUUUUAUUGUAACUAUAUUAGGGGAACUAUUUUAGCUUCCGCUUUAAUACGUUUCCUCUAUUAUUAUGUUCUUUAAAUAACAAAGAUUCUUUUUAAAAUCCCCACUUUGCUUUUAUGCUUUUUGGGGAUUUUGUUACUUUGAGUAAAUUAGAGUGUUCAAAGCAAACAGUUAAAGCAUUUUACUGUGUUUGAAUACUAUAGCAUGGAAUAACAAAAUUGAACAGGCUGAAAUUUUUUGUUCUUUUUUCUUAUUUUGGCUUAGUUACGAUUAAUAGGAGUAGCUUGGGGACAUUCGUAUUCAGAUGUC